GAUGAACGCUGGCGGCAUGCCUGAUACAUGCAAGUCGAGCGAACGGACGAGAAGCUUGCUUCUCUGAUGUUAGCGGCGGACGGGUGAGUAACACGUGGAUAACCUACCUAUAAGACUGGGAUAACUUCGGGAAACCGGAGCUAAUACCGGAUGAUAUUUUGAACCGCAUGGUUCAAAAGUGAAAGACGGUCUUGCUGUCACUUAUAGAUGGAUCCGCGCUGCAUUAGCUAGUUGGUAAGGUAACGGCUUACCAAGGCAACGAUGCAUAGCCGACCUGAGAGGGUGAUCGGCCACACUGGAACUGAGACACGGUCCAGACUCCUACGGGAGGCAGCAGUAGGGAAUCUUCCGCAAUGGGCGAAAGCCUGACGGAGCAACGCCGCGUGAGUGAUGAAGGUCUUCGGAUCGUAAAACUCUGUUAUUAGGGAAGAACAUAUGUGUAAGUAACUGUGCACAUCUUGACGGUACCUAAUCAGAAAGCCACGGCUAACUACGUG
rnacentral:rRNA from 1 species